UCUUGCUUUUUACCAACCUGAAAGACAAUAGAAUAAUCAAAUAUGCAAGUUUAGAAAUAUAAAAAAUGCCAAGACAAAAAUGGGAACAAGGAAAAAAGGCAAAUACAUAAACCUCAUAAUCCUUCCCAUCGAUGAAACCAAAAGAAAAUUUUAUAGAUGCUAUUAACGCCAAUCUUACACUGCACAGAUGUAAUUGACUGAUAUGAACUCUAGUCUAACAGUUAUAAUGCAACUUUUAGAGAACCUCAAUGUUCAAGCCUGUAAUGGAAUAUUAGUGAUCAAACUGUUUGGGGGAAAAAGUAGCACUUUGAAAAUAAAUUAGAAAUAUAAACCCUCUUCUUGUAUCAGUUCGUUCAUAAUAACAGGAACAACUACUCAGUGGUUAUUUCCAGUGAAUGAAAGAGUCAUAUUCCCUAGUAUCCUGCUUAACCUCAAGAAAAAGUGGCAACAAGAACAAUUUUUUACAGGUUCAAAGAAGAGGGAGGGAGAAGCCGAACGUUUGCCUGCACUAUACACUUUGACCGCUAGACUACUGGAUCUGCGGUUAAUUGUAGCUUCACUCUGGUGGCGCAUCAAGCAAAUUAUAUCCAUGCCAAACCUACUUAUCUAUUUUUUGUGGCAUAUAUCCUUGGAGGCUUUCCAAAUAUUUCUCACACUAGAAAGUCUUCACAAGUGAAUCCAGUUUCCGACAUUCCAUUUUAACUCAUACCAGAAUACCAGGAACACAUUUUGACCUGACUUCUAUUUGCAUAGCCUUCCUUAAAGUGUUUUUUCAAGUUG
rnacentral:misc_RNA from 1 species